rnacentral:lncRNA from 1 species
ACAACACAGCGGAACAUAUCCAAGGGACAACAGUUUACCUGCCUCCCAGAAGGAUGCUGAGUAGCCAUGUCAACUCUCUCAACCAACAACAGUCAAUGUAGCUCAAAGUGCAGGGUGGAUGUGAGAUGAGACAUUUGAGAGAGAGUGAGCAAACCCUGCUGGAAUAAAGAUAACCUGGCCUCAUAUUAACAUCAAAUGUCUAGAAUUCCAAAAACAGAAGAUCACACAAACUAUGCUAACUCCGAGUGGAAUUUCAAGACAUUAAUGUAAGAGAGGGUGACCAAACCAUGCUGGAGUAAAGAUAACCUGUCCAGUAUUAUCCCAACGGACUGCUUGACAAAUCAUGAUUUGCCAAACUUAAUUCAGGGGAGGGUUAGUCUCACACAAGCUGCCUUGUUAUAGAGGACAUUGGAAACCACUGGAUUAUAUGAAGAAAUUAAGGACUAGAAUCACUGGUGCAAGAUCACACUGGGGAAAAGUGACAGAACCAAAUUUCAAACUCCAGUCUUUCUGCUUCUAGAGAUUGAACUACUAACAUCUGCAUUAUAUAAAAUUAAGUCUCUCAAGGUAGUUUGUGAAACGUAACAUACAAAUAAGUGAUUAAAAUUUUUGGUGAUACCCUCUUGUUCCUCUUUCUUCAACACCCUAGAUUUGAGAUAUUCUUGUUUUAGAGUAUGGGGGUCAGAGUUGUGGGGGACAAUAGACAUCUAUUGAACCUCUCUAAACAUUUUUCUUGAACACAAAUAACUAGAAGCAAUAAGGGAAAGCUAAAUAAUAUCUCCCAUAAAAAAAUCUAUUACUACACACCACUGGAUUUAAUGCUUGCUCUAAAAAAUUAUUGAUAUGCUCAAUAUCUUCCUUUUAAUUUACCAAGCAGCUUCCAGAGAAUUUAGGUGAGGUAGAUAAUAAAAGAGAUAAUAAGUGGCACAUGAAAGGUGAUGAAGUUUAAAUUUAAGAACAUAUUUUGAAAAUCCUGCUAAUAAAUGUUGACUAUUUCCAGGCUCUUUAUUCAUCUUGUAGUACAGCAACAAGAUGGCAGCAUUACCAGCAAUUCAAAAUAGAUACAAAUUUAAAAUGAUGUUAUUUGAUAUAUAGCCAUGAAGAAGGAUCUUUGUUCCAUUUUAUUAUCUGUUUCCUAUGGUUAAUAACCUUAAAUAUUGCCUUGAUUCUAUCCACUCUGUUCUUGAUGUAUAAUUUCCAAACUCAAAGCUAGAUUGAGGCAUACGAUUCUCACUCUUACAUACGUUUUUCUUUCUGAAAAAUGUUUUUUAUUGUGAAAACAUAUUUUUCCUGAUCCUUGUUUAAAACCAUGACACAAAUUAAUCAAUCUACCUCCACACCAUCUGCGGCCCCCUAAAAAGAAGCAUAACUUUUCAUCAAAGAUUAGCACAUUACUCAUCCAACUAGAUUAUAGAAAUGAUAAAAACCCAUGUCAGCAGGCUCUUAGGGUGUUCAGUGGUUACGUUAGAGAAGUUGUAAAAUAAUACAAUUAUUGGAUGAU